GCUGGGUGUGGUGGCACAUGCCUGUAAUCCCAGUGGCUCAGGAGGCUGAGGCAGGAGGAUCAAGAGUUCAAGCCAGCCUCAGCAAAACUGAAGAGCUAAGCAACUCAGUGAGACCCUGUUUCUA
rnacentral:sRNA from 1 species